GGAAUCGAUAACCGCUGAAAGCAUCUAAGCGGGAAGCGAGCCCUGAGAUGAGUCAUCCCUGACCCCUUGAGGGUCCUAAAGGGCCGUUGGAGACCACAACGUUGAUAGGUGGGGUGUGUAAGCGCAGCGAUGUGUUGAGCUAACCCAUACUAAUUACCCGUGAGGCUUAACCAU
rnacentral:rRNA from 1 species